rnacentral:lncRNA from 1 species
CACAAUCGAAUUCUCUGUACUUUUAAUCUGGAAAAGGCCCUCCUAUAUCAACAUGGUGAUUUUGAUUUAGUAUUCUUUCACAGACCUUCACCUGAUCUUUGAAGGACCCUCCGGAUCUCGUCAGCCAUUCCUUGGAGAAGAACAGGUUUUCGAAUAAGACCAUUCAUGCCAGCUUGUAAGCAUUUUUCCAAUAUACGAUCCUCUGCACUCGCUGUCAGGGCUAUGAUUAACGGCCAAUUACGGCUUCGAAAUUUGCGGAUCCUCAAAGCAACUUCAAACCCGUCCAUUUCUGGCAUCUGAAGAUCCAAAAUGACAACUUGGAAAGAAGUCGCUGACUGCCCCAGAGCACUCAAGCACUCAAAGCCAGAUGAAACGGUAGUUACUUGGCAGCCUAGUUUCUCCAGCAGCCUUUUAGUAACCAUUCUAUUUAUAUCAUCAUCAUCCACUAAAAUUACUCUAAGGCCCCUGAGCUUUGAGUUGGAGAUCUGUUGCUCGGAAUUCCCAACUUCAAACAUAUGUCGUCUAAAAGAAGAUUGUUUCUGGAAUCUGAGAAUAAAACUCAUACUGUGCACGCGUCCCUCCGAAUUGGAGGACAUCCAGAUAUUACCUUGCAUCAUCUGCAGAAAUUUUUGACCCACAGCAAGAUCAGAUUAAAUAAUAGCAGCAGCAAAGUUCGCUAAACUAGAUUCAACUUGCAUGUUAAGUUCAUAAGAAAGGAAAAAAGAAGCGUCAAUAUGUAAAUAAAAGAAAAAAGAAAUCAAAAGGCAUCAUAUUUAUAGAUACUUCUGGACAACGUCUAUGCAAUGCAAUGAUAAACUAGAAAUCCAAGAUUACCUGCCCCUACAGCAAAAGACUAGUACAGCUAAGACUGUACAAUAAGGAUGUUAAGGCUUGUAUGCUUCAGUCAAUUACACCAGGAAACAUGGCUCACGAAGUGCUGGGAUAUUUACUAAUUAAUUAGGACCUUACUUAAACACCGACCUAAUUGUUAUUUUGAGAUGCAGUGUGUUUUUAUCAAGUAGAACAAUCCAAACACGAUUACUCACCAAUACUAGACUACUGGUGUCGUACAGAUCUAUACCACUCCAAACGCGAUUCCUCCCCUAGUAUUUUGGACUAGAAAAUUUACGCUCUCACAACCUCUCCCUUUGCAGGGCAAAAAAGAGUACAUGAAUUCCAUAAUUCACACUCCAAAAGUUAUACACACGUAAGAGAAAAAGAGAGAGGGAGAGGGGGUACUUUUGGGAGCUAGAAGACAAAACUAUUUUGCAACUCUUAAAUAAACGAGGUAAGAUAUUUUAAGUGCAAGUAUCUUUGUUUCCUUAUGCGUAUAUGUCCAAUAAAAAAUGCAUGGAUUGCCAGUAAACAUUUUUUAAAGAGAUAUGAAAUCACACGGGAUUAUAAGAGGAUCUAAGAUGGGUGUGUCGCUUGGUCACCGAUACACUCCAUAAGAUCAGAUGAUAUGAAUUUUAAUUUUUAUUGUUAUAGAAUUUUAAUUUUUAUUGUUAUAUAUCUGUAUAUAGAAACUGCAAGUAUCUUACUGGAUGUUUUCGAAUAUUUACUCUUACAAAUUUUUACAGGUUAGUUCGAAUCAAUUGGAACGGUGUGGAAUGGUGAUGUGGGCUGCCAAGUAUAUCAAAUGAAAAGAAAAAGAAAUAAGUUUUUCAUCUUUAUAUUUUUACCAAUUAGUUUAAUUUUGUUCCAAACGUGUUAUUUGAAUUAGCCAGGAGUUUAUGUUAUGUUUAGAUACAAUUUUCAUAUUUUAAUUUAGAUUAUUAAAUGUUGCAGUUAUUUAUUUAAUAAAGAAUUUUAUUUUUUAUAGUUUCGCACUUAAAAUUAAAAAAAAUGAGUUUUUCAUAACGUUCUAGAGUUUAUAGAAAAUUGGGACGUUUCAAUAUCAAUUCUGCACAAAAAUAAUAAUAAUAAUAAUAAUAAUAAAUGUUAUAUCUAACUUUAUGGAAGAACGGCAUUUUUACUUCUAUUCGUUUUUCGAUUUUUAUAUCCAUUUUAUUGUUGAAAAUGAAAAAUAGAAAAUCACAUUACCUCUCAAAUGGCAUAAUUUUGAUGUAAAGCUAAUUUGCCUGAAUAUUUUUCAACUAGCUGGUUAGAAGAAUCAAUAAUAUAGUUCGAUUUCUAUAGUUACAGCGCAAUCGAAUUCUCUAUACUUCUAAUUUGGAAAAGGCCCCCCUAUAUCAAGAUGGUGUUUUUGAUUUAGCAUUCUUUCAAAGACCUUCACCUAAUCUUUAAAUGACCCUCCGAAUCUCGUCAGCCAUCUCUUGGAAAAAGACAGCGUUUUCGAAUAAGACCAUUCAUGCCAGCUUGUAAGCAUUUUUCAAAUAUACGAUAAUCAUGCUAAAAAACAAGAAUUGAAAAAAUUAUAAUUGAUAGUUCAAAAUCAUACACGCGGAAGACAUUGUGAAUAUGAAUAUUAGCAAUUAGAUCUUCCUUUCCUUACUCCUCACAAAAUAUCAAUCGUCAAUAGGCUAAGCCAAUAAAACAAUAUGGAGAGGAGAGGGGACUUAACUUUUAUAUAGGAAUUUAUGGAGCCGUCCCAUUAACAACUUAAAUCGUAACUAGGAUUUAUAUAUAUUUCCAAGCCACAUACUUAAAAUUAUCACAUUACGUAAAAUAUAACCCAUAAGGUGAAAACUGGCCCAAUUGAUCACUUAACAUAUUGAACCUAAUCACUAUAUUAUUAUGAGUUAUACAUCUAAUCCGUAAAACUUUCAAUCAAAUGGAAAGCCCAUAUUUAUAAUUAUUCUAACAAGAUCUACUUAUAUGUCAUUACUUUACUAACAUUCUCUCCCUUUACCACCUCUCCUAUCACCUCAUCCACCACGUCUCCAUUCCAUGCGCUACAUUGGAACUUUUCCCUUUCAUAUAUCCUUUUUUGACCUACAAUAUGAACAUCAACCCAAGCAUCCACAAUUAGCAGAGCAACACCAAUGUUAAUCCUCGACACAAAUGUAUUUGAUAAUAUCAAUUCUGCACAAAAAUAAUAAUGCUAAAUGUUAUAUCUAACUUUAUGCAAGAACAGCAUUUCUAAAUGGCAUCUGAAUAUAUUCGUUUUUCGACUUUUAAUAUCCGUUUUAUUGUUGAAAAAGAAAAAGAAAAAAUCACCUGACCACUUAAAUGGCAUAAUUUUGAUGUAAAGCUAAUUUGCCUGAAUAUUUAUCAACUAGUUGAUUAGAAAAAUCAAUAAUAUAGUUCGAUUUCCACAGUUACAGCACAAUCGAAUUCUCUGUACUUUUAAUCUGGAAAAGGCCCUCCUAUAUCAACAUGGUGAUUUUGAUUUAGUAUUCUUUCACAGACCUUCACCUGAUCUUUGAAGGACCCUCCGGAUCUCGUCAGCCAUUCCUUGGAGAAGAACAGGUUUUCGAAUAAGACCAUUCAUGCCAGCUUGUAAGCAUUUUUCCAAUAUACGAUCCUCUGCACUCGCUGUCAGGGCUAUGAUUAACGGCCAAUUACGGCUUCGAAAUUUGCGGAUCCUCAAAGCAACUUCAAACCCGUCCAUUUCUGGC